AGCGCAGGCGGCACGUUAAGUCAAUUGUUAAAUUCCCCGGCCUAACCGGGGGUCAGCAAUAGAAACUGGCGCGCUAGAGGGUGGAAGAGAGAAGUGGAAUUCUCGGAGUAGCGGUAAAAUGCGUAGAUCUCGAGAGGAACACCGAUGGCGAAGGCAGCUUCUUGGUCCAUUUCUGACGCUCAUGCAUGAAAGCGUGGGGAGCAAACA
rnacentral:rRNA from 1 species